CCGGGACCGCGGCUCAGGAACCCCAGACGCACGGGCCUUGUGCUGUCGCUGCCGUGGCACCCCUUCUAGAAGAAGUGGGAGCCUUGGACAACUGAACGCCUAUCUCUAGCUCAAGAAAUGUCAGCUCUUUUUUUUUUUUUGAGACUGUCACCCAGUCGGGAGUACAGUGGCGCCAUCUUGGCUCUCUGUAACCUCCACCUCCUGGGUUCAAGCGAUUCUCCUGCCUCAGCCUCCUGAGUAGCUGGGGCUACAGGUAUGCACCAUCACUCCUGGCUAAUUGUUGUAUUUUUAGUAGAUAAUGGGGUUUCACCAUGUUGGCCAGGGUGGUCUCAAACUCCUGACCUCAGGUGAUCUGCCUGCCUCGGCCUCCCAAAGUGCUGGGAUUACAGACGUGAGCCACCAUGCCCAGCCAAGAAAUGUCAAUUCUUUAUCGUAGCCUGGCUUUCCAUAUUUCUCACUAGGGUUUUUAUUCUCUAGUUUGUAAAUCACAUUUGGCGUUUGUAGAUCACUCCUUCCCUUUUAGUGGCAUUCUCUAUUAGGUGUCCAUCUCCCAAUAUGAAGAAACAGUUUUCUGCUUUUUCCUCCUUUAUCUGAUCCAUUUACAGAUUUAUUACAUUUAUAAUAGGCUAGGUAUUGGGGAUACAAAAAUGAAUAAGAUAUGGUCUGUUUUCAAAGGUAUGCAGAAACUUUUCUAUAUAUUCCUACUGACUUGUAUUUGUAUUUCUUGAAUUAAAAACAAUCCUGGCUGUGUUUUUUUUUUUUUUUUUUUGCUCUUAGUGAAUCUUUGUUUCUUCUUUUCAUUAUGGCAUUCCAGUUGAGUUUCACCACGCAUUAUCAUGAGAAUAAAUAAUUUCACUGACUUUAAUAAUAUUUGAUCACUUAUGUUGAUGUCAUUUAACUCUCAUUUACAUUUCAGUGGUCUAAAACACAACUAAGAUACUAAAAGAAAAAUAAAAGAUGAGAUUAUUGGCAAAUAAUUACCAC
rnacentral:lncRNA from 10 species